rnacentral:rRNA from 1 species
CAGCAGCAGCCACGGUAAUACGGAGGGUGCGAGCGUUAAUCGGAAUUACUGGGCGUAAAGGGUGCGUAGGUGGUUAAUUAAGUUAUCUGUGAAAUUCCUGGGCUUAACCUGGGCGUGUCAGAUGAUACUGAUUGACUCGAGUAUGGGAGAGGGUAGUGGAAUUUCCGGUGUAGCGGUGAAAUGCGUAGAGAUCGGAAGGAACACCAGUGGCGAAGGCGGCUACCUGGCCUAAUACUGACACUGAGGCACGAAAGCGUGGGGAGCAAACAGGAUUAGAUACCCGGGUAGUCCCUGUCUCUUAUAC